CUCAGGUCGUAGUAGCCCAGCCCUAUCCCGACCGCCCUGUCUACAGAGUUAGGCCAGAAGCAGGUCAACGGAAACUGAGGGACAGACUACACCCCUAGAUGGCCUAGCAUUAUGGGGAUUUGCCUUCCCUCUUCCAGGGCCAGGAGGGGGCGAAGAUGCCCAAGCACCGGAGCUGAGACGCUCUCAAAGGGUUAAUAGGCAGCAACCCCGAAGGGAGAAACCAGCGAGGAGGAGUGCGAACGCUGAGAGUCCAACGUGUGGGGCUGGACGCUUGGGCACAGCCGGUGGAGCGCGAGGACUGGGGAGAGCUGGAGACGCACCCCAAACCGACGUUCGGGAGACGCAGAGCGGGUCCGAUUCGAGGCGUUGGCCCG
rnacentral:lncRNA from 1 species